UACGUAGGUGACAAGCGUUGUCCGGAUUUACUGGGCGUAAAGAGCGCGCAGGCGGUCGUGCAAGUCGCGUGUGAAAGCCCCCGGCUCAACUGGGGAGGGUCACGCGAUACUGCUCGACUCGAAGGCAGGAGAGGGAAGUGGAAUUCCCGGUGUAGUGGUGAAAUGCGUAGAUAUCGGGAGGAACACCAGUGGCGAAGGCGACUUCCUGGCCUGUUCUUGACGCUGAGGCGCGAAAGCUAGGGUAGCAAACGGGG
rnacentral:rRNA from 1 species